rnacentral:rRNA from 1 species
AAGUCUGGUGCCAGCAGCCGCGGUAAUUCCAGCUCCAAUAGCGUAUAUUAAAGUUGUUGCAGUUAAAAAGCUCGUAGUUGAAUUUCGGGGUUAGUAGAUUGGUCGUGCCACUGGUAUGUACUGGUCUUACUGAUUCCUCCUUCCUGAUGAACCGUAAUGCCAUUAAUUUGGUGUUGCGGGGAGACUGGACUGUUACUUUGAAAAAAUUAGAGUGUUUAAAGCAGGCUAACGCUUGAAUACAUUAGCAUGGAAUAAUGAAAUAGGACGUUCGAUCCUAUUUUGUUGGUUUCUAGGAUUGACGUAAUGAUUAAUAGGGAUAGUUGGGGGCAUUAGUAUUCAAUUGUCAGAGGUGAAAUUCUUGGAUUUAUUGAAGACUAACUACUGCGAAAGCAUUUGCCAAGGAUGUUUUCAUUAAUCAAGAACGAAAGUUAGGGGAUCGAAGACGAUCAGAUACCGUCGUAGUCUUAACCAUAAACUAUGCCGACUAGGGAUCGGAUGAUGUUAUUUUUAAUGACUCAUUCGGCGCCUUUACG